rnacentral:tRNA from 1 species
UCCCAGGUGGCUCAGUGGGUAAAGCAUCUGCCUGAAAUGCAGGAGAUGCAGGUAGACGCGAGUUCAAUCCCUGGGUC